rnacentral:tRNA from 1 species
GCCCGGCUAGCUCAAUGGUUAGAGCGUGUGGCUUUUACCAAGAAAAAAAUCUUAGCAAAAAGACAAACCUCAAGGCUCCGAGUUCGAGUCUCGGGUCGGGCU